rnacentral:rRNA from 1 species
AGUGAACGCUGGCGGUAGGCCUAACACAUGCAAGUCGAACGGCAGCACAGUAAGAGCUUGCUCUUACGGGUGGCGAGUGGCGGACGGGUGAGGAAAACAACGGAAUCUACUUUUUCGUGGGGGAUAACGAAGGGAAACUUAAGCUAAUACCGCAUACGACCUACGGGUGAAAGCAGGGGAUCUUCGGACCUUGCGCGAUUGAAUGAGCCGAUGUCGGAUUAGCUAGUUGGCGGGGUAAAGGCCCACCAAGGGGACGAUCCGUAGCUGGUCUGAGAGGAUGAUCAGCCACACUGGAAGUGGAACACGGUCCAGACUCCUACGGGAGGCAGCAGUGGGGAAUAUUGGACAAUGGGCGCAAGCCUGAUCCAGCCAUACCGCGUGGGUGAAGAAGGCCUUCGGGUUGUAAAGCCCUUUUGUUGGGAAAGAAAAGCAGCAGGUUAAUACCCCGCUGGUCUGACGGUACCCAAAGAAUAAGCACCGGCUAACUUCGUG